GAUGAAGAACGUAGCGAAAUGCGAUAAGUAAUGUGAAUUGCAGAAUUCAGUGAAUCAUCGAAUCUUUGAACGCACAUUGCGCCCGCCAGUAUUCUGGCGGGCAUGCCUGUCCGAGCGUCAUUUCAACCCUCGAACCCCUCCGGGGGGUCGGCGUUGGGGAUCGGGAACCCCUAAGACGGGAUCCCGGCCCCGAAAUACAGUGGCGGUCUCGCCGCAGCCUCUCCUGCGCAGUAGUUUGCACAACUCGCACCGGGAGCGCGGCGCGUCCACGUCCGUAAAACACCCAACUUCUGAAAUGUUGACCUCGGAUCAGGUAGGACUACCCGCUGAACUUAAGCAUAUCAAUAAGCGGAGGA
rnacentral:misc_RNA from 1 species